GGGAACAAUAUGAUGACUAAUCCCAUACUGAAGAAGGGUAAUAGGGAACAAACGAUCACCUAUAGCACCAAAUAACAAAUAGGCAAAUACACCGCUACAGCAGAUGACUGACCACUCUCCCAAGAAGCUAAGUCAGUAAGGUCCACGACGAAUGCAAUCAAUAAAAGAAAAACAUAAUCAGAAGAAAUACAUUGUGUAAACCACCGUGCUUGUACC